AUUGAACGCUGGCGGCAUGCUUUACACAUGCAAGUCGAACGGCAGCACGGGUGCUUGCACCUGGUGGCGAGUGGCGAACGGGUGAGUAAUGCAUCGGAACGUGCCCAUGAGUGGGGGAUAGCCCGGCGAAAGCCGGAUUAAUACCGCAUACGCCCUUAGGGGGAAAGCGGGGGAUCUUCGGACCUCGCGCUAUUGGAGCGGCCGAUGUCGGAUUAGCUAGUAGGUGGGGUAAAGGCUCACCUAGGCGACGAUCCGUAGCUGGUCUGAGAGGAUGAUCAGCCACACUGGGACUGAGACACGGCCCAGACUCCUACGGGAGGCAGCAGUGGGGAAUUUUGGACAAUGGGCGAAAGCCUGAUCCAGCCAUGCCGCGUGAGUGAAGAAGGCCUCGGUUGUAAGUACGUCUUCUAGUGAGAAGAAGUAGGCGCGUG
rnacentral:rRNA from 1 species